rnacentral:rRNA from 1 species
GGGUUGUGAGGUUAAGCGACUAAGCGUACACGGUGGAUGCCCUGGCAGUCAGAGGCGAUGAAGGACGUGCUAAUCUGCGAUAAGCGCCGGUAAGGUGAUAUGAACCGUUAUAACCGGCGAUUUCCGAAUGGGGAAACCCAGUGUGACUCGUCACACUAUCAUUAACUGAAUCCAUAGGUUAAUGAGGCGAACCGGGGGAACUGAAACAUCUAAGUACCCCGAGGAAAAGAAAUCAACCGAGAUUCCCCCAGUAGCGGCGAGCGAACGGGGAGGAGCCCAGAGCCUGAAUCAGCAUGUGUGUUAGUGGAAGCGUCUGGAAAGGCGCGCGAUACAGGGUGACAGCCCCGUACACAAAAGCGCAUGUGCUGUGAGCUCGAUGAGUAGGGCGGGACACGUGGUAUCCUGUCUGAAUAUGGGGGGACCAUCCUCCAAGGCUAAAUACUCCUGACUGACCGAUAGUGAACCAGUACCGUGAGGGAAAGGCGAAAAGAACCCCGGCGAGGGGAGUGAAAAAGAACCUGAAACCGUGUACGUACAAGCAGUGGGAGCACAGGUUUACCUGUGUGACUGCGUACCUUUUGUAUAAUGGGUCAGCGACUUAUAUUCUGUAGCAAGGUUAACCGUAUAGGGGAGCCGGAGGGAAACCGAGUCUUAAUUGGGCGUUAAGUUGCAGGGUAUAGACCCGAAACCCGGUGAUCUAGCCAUGGGCAGGUUGAAGGUUGGGUAACACUAACUGGAGGACCGAACCGACUAAUGUUGAAAAAUUAGCGGAUGACCUGUGGCUGGGGGUGAAAGGCCAAUCAAACCGGGAGAUAGCUGGUUCUCCCCGAAAGCUAUUUAGGUAGCGCCUCGUGAAUUCAUCUCCGGGGGUAGAGCACUGUUUCGGCUAGGGGGCCAUCCCGGCUUACCAACCCGAUGCAAACUGCGAAUACCGGAGAAUGUUAUCACGGGAGACACACGGCGGGUGCUAACGUCCGUCGUGAAGAGGGAAACAACCCAGACCGCCAGCUAAGGUCCCAAAGUCAUGGUUAAGUGGGAAACGAUGUGGGAAGGCCCAGACAGCCAGGAUGUUGGCUUAGAAGCAGCCAUCAUUUAAAGAAAGCGUAAUAGCUCACUGGUCGAGUCGGCCUGCGCGGAAGAUGUAACGGGGCUAAACCAUGCACCGAAGCUGCGGCAGCGACGCUGAUGCGUUGUUGGGUAGGGGAGCGUUCUGUAAGCCUGCGAAGGUGGCCUGUGAGGGUUGCUGGAGGUAUCAGAAGUGCGAAUGCUGACAUAAGUAACGAUAAAGCGGGUGAAAAGCCCGCUCGCCGGAAGACCAAGGGUUCCUGUCCAACGUUAAUCGGGGCAGGGUGAGUCGACCCCUAAGGCGAGGCCGAAAGGCGUAGUCGAUGGGAAACGGGUUAAUAUUCCCGUACUUGGUGUUACUGCGAAGGGGGGACGGAGAAGGCUAUGUUGGCCGGGCGACGGUUGUCCCGGUUUAAGCGUGUAGGCUGGUUUUCCAGGCAAAUCCGGAAAAUCAAGGCUGAGGCGUGACGACGAGGCACUACGGUGCUGAAGCAACAAAUGCCCUGCUUCCAGGAAAAGCCUCUAAGCAUCAGGUAACAUCAAAUCGUACCCCAAACCGACACAGGUGGUCAGGUAGAGAAUACCAAGGCGCUUGAGAGAACUCGGGUGAAGGAACUAGGCAAAAUGGUGCCGUAACUUCGGGAGAAGGCACGCUGAUAUGUAGGUGAAGUGAUUUACUCAUGGAGCUGAAAUCAGUCGAAGAUACCAGCUGGCUGCAACUGUUUAUUAAAAACACAGCACUGUGCAAACACGAAAGUGGACGUAUACGGUGUGACGCCUGCCCGGUGCCGGAAGGUUAAUUGAUGGGGUCAGCGCAAGCGAAGCUCCUGAUCGAAGCCCCGGUAAACGGCGGCCGUAACUAUAACGGUCCUAAGGUAGCGAAAUUCCUUGUCGGGUAAGUUCCGACCUGCACGAAUGGCGUAAUGAUGGCCAGGCUGUCUCCACCCGAGACUCAGUGAAAUUGAACUCGCUGUGAAGAUGCAGUGUACCCGCGGCAAGACGGAAAGACCCCGUGAACCUUUACUAUAGCUUGACACUGAACAUUGAGCCUUGAUGUGUAGGAUAGGUGGGAGGCUUUGAAGCGUGGACGCCAGUCUGCGUGGAGCCGACCUUGAAAUACCACCCUUUAAUGUUUGAUGUUCUAACGUGGACCCGUUACCCGGGUUGCGGACAGUGUCUGGUGGGUAGUUUGACUGGGGCGGUCUCCUCCUAAAGAGUAACGGAGGAGCACGAAGGUUGGCUAAUCCUGGUCGGACAUCAGGAGGUUAGUGCAAUGGCAUAAGCCAGCUUGACUGCGAGCGUGACGGCGCGAGCAGGUGCGAAAGCAGGUCAUAGUGAUCCGGUGGUUCUGAAUGGAAGGGCCAUCGCUCAACGGAUAAAAGGUACUCCGGGGAUAACAGGCUGAUACCGCCCAAGAGUUCAUAUCGACGGCGGUGUUUGGCACCUCGAUGUCGGCUCAUCACAUCCUGGGGCUGAAGUAGGUCCCAAGGGUAUGGCUGUUCGCCAUUUAAAGUGGUACGCGAGCUGGGUUUAGAACGUCGUGAGACAGUUCGGUCCCUAUCUGCCGUGGGCGCUGGAGAACUGAGGGGGGCUGCUCCUAGUACGAGAGGACCGGAGUGGACGCAUCACUGGUGUUCGGGUUGUCAUGCCAAUGGCACUGCCCGGUAGCUAAAUGCGGAAGAGAUAAGUGCUGAAAGCAUCUAAGCACGAAACUUGCCCCGAGAUGAGUUCUCCCUGAGACUUAGAGUCUCCUGAAGGAACGUUGAAGACGACGACGUUGAUAGGCCGGGUGUGUAAGCGCAGCGAUGCGUUGAGCUAACCGGUACUAAUGAACCGUGAGGCUUAACCUUACAACGCCGAAG